ensembl:ncRNA M03F8.10 ncRNA
GGUUAGUAAUGUUUUCUUCAUUCGAACUGUAUUUUGUGGAGAGUACGGUACUUGAAACUUACAAAAAUUAUAAAAUCCGAUCUGUAAACCUUUUAAUUGUGGAAUAAUGGAAAAACGAAAAACAACGGUUUUAUAAUAAAAAUAAAUAUC